GAUGAAGAUGUGUGCUAUGCUGCACUGGAAAUCCAACAGACAUCACACAGACCAAAGAAGAAGAAAAUCCAAAGUUCUGAUUCAGCACCUAUUCUGCCAUCAAUACUUCAAGGAUGUAGAGUGUAAAAAAGAAAAAUAACAACCACGACUCUACAACAUCUAAUGAUGGGAUCACAGCACCUAUAACACCGACCAGCGAUGGCCUUCAACUUAAGCAGAACAUGUCUCCUUUGACAAAACAAGGACAAUAAAUUGAGACGCCCGGCCUUCAGUGCUGUCAGAACAACACUGCAUCUAAACUGAAUUCAGGAGAAGAUAUUUACACCCAAUGAAUUUCAUCUUUGCUGGUUUGUUUGCUCUUUAGAUUUAAGUUCCAAAUUGAUCAGAUGGGCACAUUAACAUACAGACAGAAAACCUCUUAGUUGUUGUUGUUGAUCACAAUCCAGCUUCAAGUUCACAUUUUCAAUGGAUAUCAACAUUUCAUGACGGUGAUGAUUGUGUUUCCAUCAAGAGACACGAAAGCUGUUUUCAGAUCAUUUUCAGUUUUUAUAUCUAGUUUGCCAUCAGCCCCACACAUGCCUUUAACGGCAUCGUGAGAUACAAUGACUGAGUAGCUUAAUAACAGGAAACCCACAGUGACAAACAGCUCGUCAUUUGGCCGCAGAGCUCAACAGACUGAAGCUGUGGACCAGUGACUGCUGAAGUGUAAUCCGUGGAAAUAUAUAAAGUUUUUUAAAUUGUUCUCGUUGUAAGAGUCUCCACUCGCUCACUGAAAAGAAUGCUCGUUUGUCAAUUAGAUGUAUUUAUGUCCAACGGCCCUCUCAGCUACACUAAGGUUAUUUCUGUCAUAUGUGUGACCACAUCCUGACUGUGAGAUGCUCUGCUCUGCACGCGGGCGUCUUUUGUUUGCAGGCAGCGUGCAGUGUGGUUUCACCGUGGUCAGUGGGCUCACAGGCUCACUCGACAUCGGCCGUUUGUCUGAACAACGUAGUGCAGCACUUUUGAAUGAACGAUGAUUUCUUGCAGUGAGACGUGGUAUUUAAGGAAAUGGACAAAAAAUUCGGGGAUUACAAAAAAGGGAAACAAGAGUAACAUCUGGCCACACCAGAGGAACUCUGCUGGCCUCUAUUGAAAAGGAGACAGCUCCACGUGGUCCUCACCAAAGCCCAGGCUCUGUGAUGAGGAUCGAGGGCUUCGACUAUGUGAUGUUUGCCACAUCGGAUGAUGGGAGGUUUUUCCGUUGUGGUGAAGACACCUGGCGACGGUUUGUCCAGAGAAGAACCCCUCCACUCGGGACCAGAACGAGGGGGAGGCCAGGGAGGAAGAGGGGGCAGGUGAGGACCAGCGAGUCAGUCUUAUGUGUGA
ensembl:lncRNA